GCCUGGCUGGCUCAGGUGAUAGAGCAUGUGAUUCUUGAUCUUGGGGUCAUGAGUUCAAGCCCCACGCCGGGCA
rnacentral:tRNA from 1 species